rnacentral:rRNA from 1 species
AAAGGGGUGACCCAUGCUGGAGCGUUGCGAAGUAAGAAUGUUGGCACAAGUAACCACAAUGCGGGUGAGAAACCCGCACGCCGAAAGAACAAGGUUUCCCUCUCAACGUUUGUCGGAGAGGGGUUAGUCGGGCCUAAGGGAAUGGUGAGAACCGCACCCGAUGGACACACGGUUAAUAUUCCGUGACCCGAUACGUAAGUGAUGGGAGGACGGAGGUGAGUAUGCAUUGCGCAUUAUCGGAUUUGACGUCCUUGCGCUGAGGAGGCUUCGUAGGAAAAUCCGCGAGGCACACUCCAAGGUGAGAGGAAAUGUCCGGCCUCGGCCGGACAGAUGAUGCAAAGCCACCUUCCAAGAAAAUUCUCUAAACUUAUUGCGUAUUGGACCGUACCGCAAACCGACACAGGUGUUCAGGUCGAGUAGACCAAGGCGAACGAGUGAGAAGUCCCCACGGAACUCGGCAAAAAAGCAGCCGUAACUUCGGAAUAAGGCUUGCCCCGAUGCCCGCAAGGGUGGAUGGGCCGCAGCUAAAGUAUCUCUGGCAACUGUUUAUCAAAAACACAGCUCCCUGCGAACUCGCAAGAGGAUGUAUAGGGGGUGACACCUGACCAAUGCCAGAAGGUUAAAUACGGGCGGUGAUUGUCGUAAGACAUGAGCUGACUUGUACAAGCCCUGGUGAAUGUCGGCCGUAACUAUAGACAUGACCGUUGUAGUUACGCAAAUAAAUCUUGCCAUAUGCUGGAAAACCCGAUCCGCCUCAGGCGGAAAAAAAGUAAUAUGCAUUACGAGCACACGUCGAUGUGCCGUGACAAUAUGCAUAUGCGGAUAAUCAGCAGGAAAGUCUUCUGAAUCUAACAAAACAUAGUGAAAAAAAUACCAGUCGAUAUAGGAAACUAUAUUGCAGGGUUUGCAGACGGAGAAGGAAGCUUCAAUGUCUCAAUCAAAAAGAGGUUAGAUUACAAAGAAAGUUGGAAAUUAACCGCAUCGUUCAAUAUAUCUCAAAAAGAUAAAGUUAUCCUUGCAUGGAUUAAACAUAUUUUGGGGUGUGGGACAUUGCGGGAGAGAAAAGACGGCAUUGUGUAUUAUGAAGUGACAAAUAUUGCUUCACUUAACAAUGUCAUCAUUCCAUUCUUCAGAAAGUAUGGGUUCAGAUCUGCAUACAAAAAGAAUAAUUUCAGAAUCUUUUCUGAAAUAGUUGAAAUAAUGCAUGCAGGCAGUCACUGUACUCCUGAAGGAUUUCGGAAAGUUCUGGGAUUGAGAGAAAUACUUAAUCCAGGAAUUGGAAGAAAACGAAAGUACGCAUUAUCAGAUGUUGUAACUUCAGAAGAAUCCUCAGAGACUAUACGCAAGACGGUAACAAAAUAAAAAAUUGGAAGUCGACGAUUUUGUUAACGAUGAUAUAGUCCGAUCUCUUUGGCAACAAAGAGUUAACACGUUAGUAACAAAUUGAUAAAUUGUUGAAGAAAAAUCAUUACACAAGAAAAGCUACUAGAAAUGAACGGUCCUAAGGUAGCGAAAUUCCUUGUCUGGUAAGUUCAGACGCGCACGAAUGGUGUAAUGACUGGAGAACUGUCUCGGGGACCUGCUCGGUGAAAAUACAAUACCGGUGAAGAUGCCGGUUUCCUGCAGUUAGACGAAAAGACCCCAGGAGCUUUACUGCAACUUGAUAUUGGGAGUACGGUUUUCAUGCGUAGCAUAGUCGGCAGACUUUGAAGCGCCGCUUUCGGGCGGCGUGGAGUCACCAGUGAAAUACCGAUCUUGAAAAUUGUACUUUCUAACCUCGACGGAAAAAACGGCGAGAGACAGUAUCUGGCGGGCAGUUUUAGUGGGGCGCUAUCCUCGAGGAUUUA